rnacentral:lncRNA from 10 species
GCAUGAGCCACCACACCCAGCCUUAAUUCUUUUUAUAACUUUAAAAAUACUUCUUAUCCUGUGUUUCUGAACGUUAUGAUCUACUGUAACAAAACAAAGUGAAUAAGUUAGCAGAAUUACACUUAUUCCAACUUCCCUAGCAUCCUAUUUUUGGUUGGUAUUCUCUGCACAUUUUUUGCCAUUUUGGUUAAUCUGUUGUGAUUUUUAUCUUAUUAAAAUUAUUAACAUUUAUUCAGAAAAUACUUAUUGAUUAUUCCCUAAGUUCCAGGUUAUGUUGCUGCUAGUGGCUCAGUCAUACACAAAACAAAAUAUGUCCUCGGAAUAAAUAAUCUGUCCUCAGAGAGACUGCGGUCUAGAAGGGAAGAGAGAUGUGACUAAUUCCACAAUAGACGUGUAGUCUGCCUUGGUCUGUUCAGCUGCUAUAACAAAACGCUAUGAACUAAGUAGCCUGUAAAUAAUAAAAAUUUGUUUCUCACAGUUCUGGAGCCUGAAAGGCCAAGAUCAAGGCAGACUCAUUGUGUGGUGAGGGCCAUUUUUCCGGCUCAUAAACAGUGCUUUCUUCCUGUGUCCUCACAUGGUGGAAGGGACCAAUAAGCUCUUUGGGGCCCCUUUUAGAAGGGCACUAAGCCCAUUUAUGAAGGCACCAUCCUCAUGAGCUACUCACCUCCCAGAGGCCCCAUGUCCUAAUAGUAUCACCUUAAGGGUUAGAAUUUCGAUAUAUGAAUUUAUAGGGGCUGGGGGGUCACAAACAUUCAGAUUGCAAUAUAAAACUUUUCAGCUUCUUAGAGAGUGACACUUACCUUAUCAUUGGUGGCACUUUACAAUCUCCAUCAGCCACAUGGAAACCUGAUUAGAUUAGUGAUCAGGGAAACGUUUAUGUUCUGAUGUGUGUCCAGACUCAAGACUAUUAUUUGGACUUAAUUUCACAUUUAAACGAAUUCCCUGCUCACCAUCCACCCUUUCUUUGUCCAAUCCAUGUUUAGUUUAUGAUUUGGAUUCAUCUUUUGGUUGGCUGAAAUAAUUCUUCAUGUAGUAGUAAUAGCUGUUGCUGUUGAUUACAUUGUUUAAUUGAGAAAGUGCAUACACAGGAAACAAGUUCUCCUACAUGAGAUAUUGUCUUCUGCUGCCUUAUACAAGCAGGAACUUUGGCUAAGAGAAAAUCUUGGGUUCACAGACUCUUCACCUGAAGAAUUACAAAUACUGGCCUAACACAAUGUUCAGAUAGUUCUGAGGCCAGCCUCACAAGUUCCUUUAGUAAAUGAUCCUUUUCUUAUCACUAGGUGCUUGUGAGAUUCCACGCAUCAUACUAGAGGUGUGAGCACUGCACCUAAGGGUGCCUCGGAUCAUCCCUGAGAUGCAGGCACUGCACCAGGAGGUGUCUUGGAUCAUUCCUGAGGUGUGAGCACAUCAUCAGAAGGUAUGUUGAAUCAUCCCUGAGGUAAGAGCACUGCACCAAAGGGGUCUUGAAUCAUCCCUGAGGUGUGAGCACUGCACCAGAUGUCUUGGAUAAUCCCUGAGGUAAAAACACUACAUCAGGAGAUGUCUUGGGUGAUCCCUGAGGUUCAGGCACUGUGCCAGAAUGAAUCAUCAGAAGAAGGAGCAUUACACCAAGAGGUGUUUUGGAUCAUACCUGAGGCGUGAUCCUCCUUGAGGUGUGAUCACUGUAACAGGAGGUGUCUUGGAUCUUCCCUUCGGUGUGAUCACUGCACCAGGAAGUGUCUUGGAUCAUCCCUGAGGUGUGAGCACUGUAACAGGAGGUGUCUUGGAUCCUCCCUGAGGGGUGAGCACUACCCCAAGAGGUGUCUUGGAUCAUGCCUGAGGUGUGAUCACUGUACCGGGGGUGUCUUAAAUCAUCCCUGAGGGGCGAAUACUGUAAGAGGAGGUGUUUUGAAUAUUCCCAGAGGUAAGAGCACUACACCAGGAGGUCUUUGGAUCAUCAUACCUGAAGUGUGAACAUUUCACCCUUAAAUGUGUGAACCUUAUAUAAGGUGUGAACAUUUCACACAUUAUAUCAUGCCUGAGGUGUGAUUCAUGCACCAGGAAAUGUUUUGUAUCAUCCCUGAGGUGCAGGCACUGUACCAGUAGGUCUCUUGGAUUAUGCCUGAGGUGUGACCACUGCACCAGGAAGUGUCUUAAAUAAUCUCUGAGGUGGGAGCACUCCACAAGGAGGUGUCUUCGUUCAUCCCUGAGCAGGGACUACUCCACCAGGAGGUUUUUUGGAUAACCCUGAGGAGGGAGUACUACACCAGGAGGUACCUUGGAUGUUAACUGAGUUAUAACCACUGCAUCAGGAGGUGUCUUAAGUAAUCUCUGAGGUGGAAGCACUACACCAGAAGGUGUCUUGGAUCAUCCCUGAGGUGCAGACACUGCACCAGGAGAUCUGUAGGACUAUGCCUGAGGUUUGAGCACUGCACCAGGAAGUGUCUUUUAUCAACCCUGAGUUGGGGGCACUGCACAAGGAGGUGUCUUGGAUCAUCACUUAAGUGGGAGCACUGCACCUCCAAGUGUCUUGAAUCAUGCCUGACAUGUGAGCACUGCACCAGCAGGUGUCUUGGCUAAUUCCUGAGGAGGGAGUACUGCACGAGGAGGUGUCUUGCAUCACAAGUGAGGUGUGAGCACUGUACCAGGAGGUGUCUAGGAUCAUCCCUGAAUUGAGAGCACUGCACCAGGAGGUGUCUUGGAGCAUCCCUGAGGUGGGAGCACUGCACCAGGAAGUGUCUUGCAUGUUGCAUCAUCCCUGAGGUAGGAGCACUACACCAGGAGGUAUCUCAGAUCAUUCCUGAGGUGGGAGCACUUCACCAGGUGGUGUCUUGAAUCAUCGCUAAGGUAAGAGCACUGGACCAAAGGGGUGUGAAUCAUCCAUGAAGUGGGAGCACUGCUCCAGGAGCUGUCUUGGAUCAUCCCAAGGGAGAGAACACUACUCCAGGAGGUGUCUUGGGUCAUCCUUGAGGUGUGAGCACUGCACAAAGAAGUGUCUUGUAUUAUGCCUGAGUGUGAGCACUGUGCCAGGAGGUGUCUUGGAUCAUUCCUGAAGGCUGAGCACUGUACCAGCAAGUAUCUUGGAUCAUCUCAGAGGUGUGAGCAUUGCACCAGGAGGUGUCUUGGAUCAUCCCUGAGGUAGGAUCACUGCACCAGGAAGUGUCAUGAAUCAUCCCUGAGGUGUGAGCACUGCACCAGGAGGUUUCUUAAAUAAUCUCUGAGGUGGGAGCGCUGCACAAGGAGGUGUCUUCAUUCAUCCCCAAGAAAGGACUACUGCACUAGGGGGUUUUUUGGAUAACCCUGAGGAGGGAGCACUGCACCAGGAGGUAUCUUGGAUGAUAACUGAGUUGUAACCACUGCACCAAGAAGUGUCUUAAAUAAUCUCUGAGGUUGAAGCACUACACCAGGAGGUGUCUUGGAUCAUCCCUGAGGUGCAGACACUGCACCAGGAGAUCUGUAGGAUUAUGUCCGAGGUUUGAGCACUGCACCAGGAAGUGUCUUUUGUCAACCCUGAGUUGGGAGCACUGCACCAGGAGGUGUCUCAGAUCAUCACUUAGGUGGGAGCACUGCACCUGCAAGUGCCUUGGAUCACGCCUGACGUGUGAGCACUGCACCAGCAGGUGUCUUGGCUCAUCCCUGAGGAGGAAGUACUGCAAGAGGAGGUGUCUUGCAUCACACCUGAGAUGUGAGCACUGUACCAGGAGGUGCCUAGGAUCAUCCCUGAAUUGAGAGCAUUGCACCAAGAAGUGUCUUGGAUGUUGCAUCAUCCCUGAGGUAGGAGCACUACACCAGGAGGUAUCUCGGAUCAUCCCUGAGGUGUGAGCACUUCACCAGGAGGUGUCUUGAAUUAUCCCUAAGGUAAGAGCACUGCACCAAAGGGGUCUUGGAUCAUCCCUAAAGUGGGAGCAGGGCACCAGGAGAUGUCUUGGAUCAUCCCCGGAAAGAGAGCAUUACACCCGGAGGUGUCUUGGGUCAUCCUUGAGGUGUGAGCACUGCACCAAGAGGUGUCUUGUAUUAUGCCUGACUGUGAACACUGCACCAGGAGGUGUCUUGGAUCAUUCCUGAAAGUUGAGCACUGUACCAGCAGGUAUCUUGGAUCAUCUCAGAGGUGUGAGCAUUGAACCAGGAGGUGUCUUGGAUCAUCCCUGAGGUAGGAUCACCGCAUUAGGAAGUGUCUUGAAUCAUCCCUAAGGUGUGAGCACUGUAACAGGAGGUGUCUUGGAUCAUCCCUGAAAGUUGAGCACUGUACAAGCAGGUAUCUUGGAUCAUCUCAGAGGUGUGAGCAUUGCACCAGGAGGUGUCUUGGAUCAUCCCUGAGGUAGGAUCACUGCACUAGGAAGUGUCUUGAAUCAUCCCUGAGGUGUGAGCACAGUAACAGGAGGUGUCUUGGAUCCUCCCUGAGAUGUGAGCACUGCAGCAGGAGGUGUCUUCAAUCAUCAGAGGAAAGAGCACUACACCAAGAUAUGUCUUGGAUCACGUCUGAGGUGUGAUCGCUGUAACAAGAGGUGCCUUGAAUCAUCCCUGAGGUGUGAGCACUGUACCAAGACGUGUCUUGGAUCAUCCAGGAGGUGUGAGCACCUCACCAGGAUCAUCAUACCUGACGUGUGAACAUUUCACCCAGAAGUGGCUUAUGUCAUGCCUGAGGUGUGAUUCAUGCACCAGGAGGUGUUUUGUAUCAUCCCUGAGGUGCAGGCACUGUACCAGUAGGUCUCUUGGAUUAUGCCUAAGGUUUGAGCACUGCACCAGGAAGUGUCUUUUAUCAUCCCUGAAGUGUGAGCACUGCACAAGGAGGUGUCUUAAGUAAUCUCUGAGGUGGGAGCACUGCACAGGGAGGUGUCUUCAUUCAUCCCCCAGAAGGGACUACUGCACCAAGAGGUUUUUUGGAUAAUCCUGAGGAGGGAGCACUGCACCAGGAGGUAUCUUGGAUGAUAACUGAGUUUUAACCACUGCAGCAAGAAGUGCCUUAAAUAAUCUCUGAGGUGGAAACACUACACCAGGAGGUGUCUUGGAUCAUCCCUGAGGUGCAGACACUGCACCAGGAGGUCUGUAGGAUUAUCCCUGAGGUUUGAGCACUGCACCAGGAAGUGUCUUUUAUCAUCCCUGAGUUGGGAGCACUGCACCAGGAGGUGUAUUGGAUCAUCACUUAGGUGGAGCAUUGCACCUGCAAGUGCCUUGGAUCAUGCCUGACGUGUGAGCACUGCACCAGCAGGUGUCUUGGCUCAUCCCUGAGCAGGGAGUACUGCACGAGGAGGUGUCUUGUGUCACACCUGAGGUGUGAGCACUGUACCAGGAGGUGUCUAGGAUCAUCCCUGAAUUGUGAGAAGUGCACCAGGAGGUGUCAUGGAGCAUCCCUGAGGUGGGAGCACUGCACCAGGAAGUGGCUUGCAUGUUGCAUCAUCCCUGAGGUAGGAGCACUACACCAGCAGGUGUCUUGGAUCUUUCCAGAGGUAGGAGCACUUCACCAGGAGGUAUCUUGAAUCAACCCUAAGGUAAGAGCACUGCACCAAAGGGGUCUUGGAUCAUCCCUGGAGUGGGGGGAACACUACUCCAGGAGGUGUCUUGGGUCAUCCUUGAGGUGUGAGCACUGCACCAAAAGGUGUCUUGUAUUAUGCCUGAUUGUAUUAUGCCUGAGUGUGAGCAUUGCACUUGGGGGUGUCUUGGAUCAUUCCUGAAGUAGGAUCACUGUCUCAGGGAGUGUCUUGAAUCAUUCCUGAGGUGUAAGGAUUGUUACAGGAGAUGUCUUGAAUCAUCAGAGGAAAGACCACUACACCAAGUGGUGUCUUGGAUCAUCCCUGAGGUGUGAACUUUGCACCCGGAAGUGUCUUAUCAUGCCUGAGGUGUGACCCAUGUACCAGGAGGUCUCUUGUAUCAUCCCUGAGAUGGGAUCACACACCAUGAGGUGUCUUGGAUCAAAUCUGAGGUGCAGACGCUGCACAAGGAGGUCUCUUGAAUCAUCCCUGAGGUGGCAGCACUGCACCAGAAGGUGUAUUGGAUCAUCCCUCAGGUGUGAACACUGCACCAGGAAGUGUCUAAAAUCAUGCCUGAGGUGUCAGCACUGCACCAGGAGGUGUUUUUGAUCAUCCCUAAGGUGCAGGCACUGCACCAGGAGGUCUCUUGGAUUAUGCCUGAGGUUUGAGCACUGCAUCAGGAAGUGUCUUUUAUCAUCCCUGAUGUGUAAGCAUUGCACCAGGAGGUGUCUUGCGUCAUUCCUGAGGUGUGUACACUGCACCAGGAGUUGUUCUGCAUUAUUCCUGAGGUCGGAGCACUGCAUCACAAGUGUCUUGGAUCGUGCCUGAUGGUGCCUGACCAGCAAGUGUCUUAACUCAUCCCUGAGGAGGGAGUACUGUAACAGGUGUCUUGGAUCAUCCCUUGGAGUGCAGCACUACACCACCAGGUGCUUUGAAUCAUCUCUGAGGUGUGAGCAGUGCACCAGGAAGUGUCUUGUAUUAUGACUGAGUGUGAAUACUUCACCAGGUAGUUUUUUGGAUAAUUCCUAGGUGUGACCGCUGCACCAGGAGGUAUCUCGGAUCAUGCCAGAGUUGUGAGCACUGCAUCAGGAGAUGUUUUGGAUCAUCCCUGAGGUGUGACCACUGGACCAGGAGGUGUCUUGGAUCAUGCCUGAGUGUGAGCACUGUACCAGGUGGGUUUUUUGUAUCACCCCUAGGUGUGAGUACUGCAUCAGGAAGUACCUUUGAUCAUGUAUGAGUUGUGAUCACUGCACCAGGACAUGUCUUAAAUCAUAUCUGAGUUGUGAUCACUGCACCAAGAGGUGUUUUGGAGCAUCCCUGAGGUGUAAGCACUGCACCAAGAGGUGUCUUGGAUCAUGCCUGAGUUGUGACCACUCCACCAGGAUAUGUUUUGGAACAUACCUGAGGUGUGAGCACUGCACCAGGAGGUGUCUUAGAUUAUGCCUGAGUGUGAGCACCUCACCAGGAUGUACCUUGGAUCAUGCCUGAGUUUUGUGGGCACUGCACCAGGAUGUGUUUUGGAUAAUCCCUGAGGUGUGAGCACUGCACCAGGAAGUGUUUUGUAUUAUGCCUGAGUGUGAACACUGCACCAGGUGGUUUUUUGGAUGAUUCCUAGGUGUGACCACUGCACCAUCAUCAUGCCAGAGUUGUGAGCACUGCAUCAGGAGAUGUUUUGGAUCAUCUCUGAGGUGGGAUCACUGUACCAGGGGUGUCUUGAAUCAUCCCUGAGGGGUGAACACUGUGACAGGAGGUGUCUUGAAUCAUCCCUGAGGUAAGAGCACUGCACCAGGAGGUCUUUGGAUCAUCAUACCUGAGGUGUGAACAUUUCACCCAGAAGUGUCAUAUCAUGUCUGAGGUGUGACCCAUGCACUAGGAGGUGUUUUGUAUCAUGCCUGAGUUGUGACCACUGUACCAGAGGGUGUUUUGGAACAUCCCUGAGGUGUGAGCACUGCACCAGGUGGUGUCUUGGAUCAUCUCUGUAGUGUGAGAAUUACACAAAGAGGUGUUUUUAAUCAUCCCUGGGGUGAGAUCACUACACCAGGAAUUGUGUUGGAUCAUGCCUGAGUGUGAGCACUGCACCAGGAGGUAUUUUGAAUCAUGCCUGAGUUGUGAGCACUGCAUCAUGAGGUGUUUUGGAUCAUCCCUGAGGUGCAAGCACUGCACCAGGGGGUGUCUUGGAUCAUCCCUGAUGUGUGAGCACUGCACCAGGAGAUGUCUUGGAUCAUCCCUGAGGUGUAAGCACUGCACAAAGGACUGUCUUGUAUUAUUCCUGAGUGCAAACGCUGCACCAGGUGUCUUUUUGGCUCAUUCCUAGGUGUGACCACUGCACCAGGAGGUAUCUCAAGUCAUGCCAGAGAUGUGAGCACUGCAUUAGAAGAUGUUUUGGAUCAUCCCUAAGGUGUGAGCACUGGACCAGGAGGUCUCUUGGAUCAUCCCUGAGUUGAGAGCACUGUUCCAAGAGGUGUCUUGGAUCAUGCCUGAGUGUGAGCACUGCACCACGUGGUUUUUUUGGAUCAUCCCUAGGUGUGAGCACUGCACCAGGAGGUAUCUUGGAUCAUGUCUGAGUUGUGAUCACUGCACCAGGAGGUGUCUUAAAUCAUAUCUGAGUUGUGAGCACUGCACCAAGAGGUGUUUUGGAGCAUCCCUGAGGUGUGAGCACUGCAUGAGGUGGUGUCUUGGAUCAUCCCUGUAGUGUGAAAACUGCACAAGGAGGUAUUUUCCAUCAUCCCUAAGGUGGGAGCACUACACCAAGAAGUGUGUUGGAUAAUGCUUGAGAUGUGAGCACUGCACCAGGAGGUGUCUUAGAUCAUGCCUGAGUGUGAGCACCUCACCAGGAUGUACCUUGCAUGAUGCCUGAGUUGUGUGGGCACUGCAUCAGGAUGUGUUUUGGAUCACCCUUGAGGUGUGAGCACUGUACCAGGAAUUGUCUUGGAUCAUCCCUGAGUGUGAGCACUACACCAGGAGGUGUUUGGGGUCAUCCAUAAGGUCUCAGCACCGCACCAGGUUUCUUGUAUUAUGCCUGAGUGUGAGCACUGCACCAGGAGAUAUUUUGAAUCAUGUCUGAGUUGUGAGCACUGCAUCAGGAGGUAUUUUGGAUCAUCCCUGAGGUGUGAGCAUUGCACCAGGAGGUGUCUUGGAUCAUCCCUGAGGUGUGAACAUUGCACCCAGAAGUGUCUUAUGUCAUGCCUGCAGUGUGAGCACUGCACCAGGAUAUCUAGGAUCAUCCCUGAAUUGUGAGCACUAAACCAGGAGGUGUCUUGAUUCAUCCCUGAGGUGUGAGCACCUCACCAGGAGGUAUCUUGGAUCAUCCCUGAGAUGUGAACACCUCACCAGGAAGUGUCUUGGAUCAUGUCUGAGUUGUGAGCACUGCACCAGGACGUGUCUUAAAUCAUCUCUGAGGUUUGAGCACUACACCAGGAGGUGUCUUAAAUCAUGCUGAAAAGUGACCACUGCACCAGGAGGCAUCUUGGAUCAUGUCUCAGUUGCAACAGGAGGUGUCUUGGAUCAUCCCUGUGGUAUAAGCACUGCACCAGAAGGUGUCUUGGAUCAACCCUGGGAUGGAGGCAGUGCACCAGAAGGUGUCUUGGAUCAUCCCUGAUGUGGGAGCACUGCAUCAGGAGAUCUCUUGGAUCAUCGCUGAGGUGUGAGCACUGCACCAGGAGGUAUCUGGAAUGAUUUUUGAGGAGAGUGUAGCGCACCAGGAGGUAUCUUGGAUCUACCCUGAGGUGUGAGCACUGCAACAGGAAGUGUCUUGGAUCAUCCCUGAGGUGUGAGCACUGCAACAGGAUGUGUCCUCAAUCAUCCAUGAAGGGGGAUCACUGCACCAGGAGGUGUCUUGUAUCAUUGCUGAGGUGGAAGCACUGCACAAGGAAGUGUCUUAGAUCAACCUGACUUGUGAGCACUGCACCAGAAGGUGUCUUGGAUCAUUGCUAAGAUGCAAGCAAUGCACCAGCAGAUGUCUCAGAUCGUCCUUUAGGUGGGAGCGCUACACGAGGGGUGUCUUGGAUCAUCCCUGAGGAGGGAGCACUACACCAGGAGGUGUCUUGGAUCAUUUCUGAGGUGCAGGCACUGCAUCAUGAGGUGUCUUGGAUCGUCGCUGAAGUGUAAGCACUGCACCAGGAGGUGUUGUGAAUCAUCGCUGAGGUGUGAGCACUGCACCAGUAGGUGUCUUGGAUCAUCCUUGGGGUGUGAACAUUGCAUCAGGAGAUGUCUCAGAUCAUCCCUGAGGUGCAGGCACUGUACCAGGAGGUAUCUUGAAUCAUUUCUGAGGUGCAGGUGCUGCACCAGGUGUCUUGAAUCAGCCCUGAGGUGUGAGCACUACACCAGGAGGUGUCUUGAUUCAUCCCUGAGGUGUGAGCACUGCACCAGGUGUCUUGAUUCAUCUCUGAGGUGUGAGCACUGCACCAGGAGCUGUCUUGAAUAACUUCUGAGGUGUGACCAUUGUACCAGGAGGUGUCCUGUAUCAUCCCUGUGGAGGGAGCACUGCACCAGAAGGUGUAUUGGAUCAUCCCUGAAGUGUGAACACUACAUCAAAAGGCAUCACGAAUCAUCCCUAAGGCUUGAGCACUGCACCAGGAGGUGUCUUUGAUCAUGCCUGAGAUGUAUGCACUGCACUAGGAGGUGUUUUGGAUCAUCCCUAGGUGGGAGCACUACCCCAAGAGGAGUCUUGGAUCAUCUUUGAGGUGGGAGUACCACACCACGAGGUGUCUUGGAUCAUCCCUGAGGUGGAAGCACUGCACCAGGAGUUGUCUUGGAUCAUUCCUGAGGUGUGAGUACUGCACCAGGAGGUAUCUUGUAUCAUCCCCGAGGUCAGAGCACUACACCAGGAGAUGUUUGGAUCAAACCUGACAUGUAGGCACCGCACCAGAAGGUCUCUUGGAUGAUGCCUGAAUUGUCAGCACUGCACCAGGAAGUGUAUUUUAUCAUCCUUGAGGUCAGAACACUGCACCAGCAAGUGUCUUGGAUUCUGCCUAAGGUGUGAGCACUGCACAAGCAGUUGUCUUGGCUCAUCCCUAAGAAGGGAGUACUGUGCCAGGGGGUGUCUUGGAUUAUGCCUGAGUUGUGAGCACUGUAUCAGGAGGUGUCUUGGAUCAGCCCUGAAUUGUGAGCACUGCACAAGGAGGUGUCUUGGAUCAUCCCUGAGGUGGGAGCACUGCACCAGGAGGUGUCUUCAAUCAUCCCUGAGGUGUGAGCACUGCACCAGGAGAUGUCUUGGAUCAUCCCUGAGGUAGGAUCACUACACCAGGAGGUUUCUUGGAUCAUUUCUGAAGUGUGAGCACUGCACCACAAGGUGUCUUGAAUCAUCCCUGAGGUAGGACCACUACACUAGGAGAUGUCUUGGGUCAUCCCUGAGGUGUGAGCACUGUACCAGGAGGUGUCUUGGAUCAUCCCUGAGGUGCAGUGAUAUGGUUUGGUCAUGUCCCCACCCAAAUCUCAUCUUGAAUUGUAGCUCCCAUAAUCCCCACAUGUCAUAGAAGGGACCCUGUGGGAGGUAACUGAAUCAUGGAGGGAGUUACCUCCAUGCUGUUUUCAUGACAGUGAGUGAGUUUUCAGAUCUGAUGGUUUUAUAAGGAGCUUUUCCCCCAUUUACUUGGCACUUCUCCUUCCUGCCAUCCUGUAAAGAAGGAUGUGUUUACUUCCUUCCACUUUGAUUGUAAGUUGUUUGAGGCCUCCUCAGCCCCACAGAACUAUGAGUCAUUUAAACCUUCUUUCUUUAUAAAUUACCCAGUCUUGGGCAGUUCUUUAUAGCAGUGUGAGAUCAGACUAAUAAACACCCCCAUGAUUUAAUUACCUCCCACCAGGUCCCUCCCAUGACACAUGGGGAUUAUGAGAACUACAAUUCAAGAUGAGAUUUGGGUGGGACACAGCCAAAACAUGUUAUUCCAUUCAUGGUCCCUUUAAAAUAUGUCCUCACAUUUCAAAACACAAUUAUGUACUUCCAACAGUCCCCCAAAGUCUUAAUUCAUUCCAUCAUUAUCCCCAAAGUCCAAAUCUAAAGUCUCAUCUGAGACAAGGCAAAUUCCUUCGCCUAUGAGCCUGUAAAAUCAAAAGUGAGUUAAUUACUUCCAAGAUACAAUGGAGAUACAGGCAUUGGACAAAUACACCCAUUCCAAAUGAGAGAAAUUGGCCAAAACAAAGAGGCUCCAGGCCCCACCCAAGUCCAAAAUCCAACAGGGCAGUAACCAAACCUUAAAGUUCCAGAAUAAUCUCCUUCAACUCCAUGUCUCACAUCAGGUCACGCUGAUGCAAGAGGUGGGCUCCCAUGGCCUUGGACUGCUUCACCCCUGUGGCUUUGCUUUCACAAGAUGGCAUUGAGUGUCUGAGGCAUUUCCAGGUGCACAGUGCAAGCUGUCAGCGGAUCUACCAUUCUGGGGUCUGAAGGACGGUGGCCCUCCUCUCACAGUUCAACCGGGCAGCACCCCCAUGGGGACUCCCUGUGGGGGCUCCAAUCCCACAUCUCCCUUCUUCAAUGCCCUAGCAGAGGUUCUCCAUGAGGGCUUUGCCCCUACAGCAGACUUCUGCCUGUACAUCCAGGUAUUUCCAUACAUCCUCUGAAAUCUAAGCUGAGGUUCCCAAACCUCAAUUCUUGACUCCUGUACACCCACAGGUCCAAGACCACGUGUAAGCCACCAAGGCUUGGGGCUUGCACCCUCUGAAGCAACAGCCUGAGCUCUAUGUUGGCCCCUUGAGCCACAGCUGGAACUCACUAUCACCAAAUCCCUAUACUACACAAAGCAGCAAGGCCCUAGGCCUAGCCCGUGAAACCCUUUUUUCCUCCUAGGCCUCUGGGCCUGUGAUGGGAGGGACUGCUGUGAAGAACUCUGACAUGCCCUGGAGACAGUUUCCCCAUUGUCUUGGUGAUUAACAUUUGGCUUUUCGUUACUGAUGCAAAUUUAUCUAGCUGGCUUGAAUUUCUUCUCCAAAAAUGGGUUUUUCUUUUCUAUCGCAUCAUCAGGCUGCAAAUUUUCCUAAGUUUUAUGUUCUGGUUCCCUUUUAAACAUAAGUUUUAAUUCCAAACCAUAUAUUUGUGAGUACAUAAAACUGAAUGCUUUUAACAGCACCCAAGUCACCUCUUGAAUGCUUUGCUGCUCAGAAAUUUCUUCUGCCAGAUACCCUAAAUCAUCUCUCUCAAGUUCAAAAUUCCACAGAUCUUUAGGGCAAGGGCAAAAUACUGCCAGUCUCUUUGCUAAAAUGUAGCAAGAGUCACCUUUAUUCCAGUUCCCAAAAAGUUCUUCAUCUCCAUCUGAGACCACCUCAGCCAGGACUUCAUUGUCCACAUCACUAUCAGCAUUUUGGUCAAAACCAUUAAACAAGUCUCUAGGAAGUUCCAACUUUCCUGGAAGACAUCUUCCUGUCUUCUUCUGAGCCCUCCAAACUGUUCCAACCUCUGCCUGUUACCCAGUUCCAAAGUCACUUCCACGUUUUUUAGUAUCUUUAUAGCAGCGCCCCACUACCCAGUAUCAAUUUACUGUUUUAUUCCAUUCUCAUGCUGCUAUGAAGAACUGCCUGAGACUGGGUAAUUUAUAAAGGAAAGAGGUUUAAAUUACUCACAGUUCUGCAGGGCUGGGGACGCCUCAGGAAACUUACAAUCAUGGCAGAAAGCAAAGGGGAAGCGGGCACGUCUUCAUGUGUCUGGAGAAGGAGGAAGAGAGCAAAGAGGGAGGUGCCACACACUUUCAAACAACCAGGUCUCCUGAGAACUCAUUCACCAUCACAAGAAUGCAAGGGGGAAAUCUGCCCCCAUGAUCCAAUCACCUCCAACCAGCCCACUUCCCCAACACUGGGAAUUACAAUUCGACAUGAGAUUUGGUUGGGGACACAGAGCCAAACUAUAUCAGUGCUUAACCUCAUUUGAGUUGUCACACGCAACCAGGAGGCUUGAAUAACCCACUGCUUCCAGACUAGAUGGCUUUCUGUGUGACCCCAAGAGAGACUCCCAGCCUCUGCUGAUUCCUAUGUAAAGUAUGGGUUGGAACUGGAUGGUAUCGUAGGUUCCUUUAGCUCCGUAUGAUUCUCAUGUAAAAUUCCACCCAGCAGUCAGGCAAGAGGUGCACUGGGGAGAGGAGGUGGAACCCCCAGGUUGUUGAUAAAAUCCUGAAAUCCCUUGGCUCUGUGCUUCAAACAGCCACCUUCCCAACAUCUAUGACUCUUUGAACUGCUCAUAAAGAGCGCUGAUUAAUGUGACACUUCACAUGCCCACCAUGAAAUUAGGAAGGCCCUUAGAUCUCCUUCAAACCCGCGGUGCCGGUGCCUUCGCCCCAUCAAUCAGAGAUGAAACUGUGAUUGUGCUGCAAGGAGACGAGGCCAUCCUGGAGUUCUGCCAUGAAAGAAUCGCUGGGACUCAAAGGAGGGGAAAACAAGGGAAGGAGAGAGGGGGAAAGGGAAAGAGAAGCUGCUUCCAGAAGGAAUAAAUUUGUGUGUGUACUUUGAUCCUGCUAUGAUUUUUAUUUGUUUUAGCCACAUCCUUUUCACUGCACCACUCAGCUAAAGGUGCUUUAAAUUAGAUGGCGCUAGGAAACCCUCUUCCUCCCCCCUUCUUCCCCUGCCUGCCACGCAGGCCCACAGUCUUCAGUCAGUGUGAGAUGUAUAAUCAUGUCAUGCUCAAAUGUAACUGGAAUAAAUUGAGACAAAUAAACUCAAAGGCACCACAUGCAUUUAGAAUGCUCUUUGUCAGGGUUUCCUAAUAUGCUUGCAGGCAGCUAACUCAACGCAAACAAAAAGUGGCAGUGUUUACCCAGCUUUGCUUUGGAGCAUGUUGAGAGCCUCUGACUCACAGAUCGCUGCUGAUUGAAUCUGCACAUACAUUGGUGUUCACUGUCCCCCAGCUAACUUCCUUCCCUCUUCCACACUCCUCCCUUUCCCAGGUGUCCAGGCUGAACAGGGACUUGUUUGGGGUCCUCUGUUCCUCUCCUCUACCUGUCUUCAGUAGGAUAGCACAAAGAUCACAAAGGCCUUGAGAGCAGAGAUGGGAAGUGAGAACCGUGUCUCACUGUGAGGACCCCAGGACCUUUGUUCAAACAAAGCAAAGCAGCACCUGGCAUGGCCGGCCCGUUCUGCUCAGCGUUCAGGAGCGAGCUGCCUACCAGAAACCUCCUCUUUGGUGCUCUUGUUAAAAAAGAUGCCUCAGGGCACCUUUAAGGGAAGAUCUGAAAUGAACCUCUUACCUUCUAAAACCUUCUUUCUUGGCCAAUCUUGUUCCAUGACCGGCCACAUGGCUGUGGAUUUACUGGCUCUCUGGACCCUCACCCUCCCAUCAGGGUGCCAUCUUAUCCAUGUCUCUGAUUGAGGGACACACAUGUCAGCUCUCUGCUCCUGCACUGCCAGGCACAGCCAUGAUGGUCUCAGAGCCAUUGGUCCCCAGCACAGAGGGGAGCUUCAAAUGGUACCAUGAUGAUGAAGGUGGUAGGUGCCUAGUAGCUACGGACUUUGGAUUAUAUCCAUUUCCAAUGAUUAACAAGAAGCCCCUUUAAUUUUAAGCAUGUACUUUUUAUUCAGAAAUAAGGUCCCACUCUGGCACCCAGGUGGGAGUGCAGUGGUGCCGUCAUGGCUCAUUGCAGCCUCAACCUCCCAGGCUCAAGCGAUCCUCCCACCCCAGCCUCGCAAGUAGCUGGGACUGCAGGUGCACCAUCAUGCCUGGCUAAUUUUUUAAAUUACUAUUUUAAUAGAGAUGGGGUAUUGCUAUGUUUCCAAGGCUGGUCUCAAACUCCUAACCUCAAGUGAUCCUCCCACCUCAGCCUCCCAAAGUGCUGGGAUUACCGACGUGAACCACUGUUCUGGACCAAGUAUGUACAUUUAUAAAUAACACCCAUUUUCCUGUGAUUUCCUUAGCUUCACUCUAUGAACUGCUAGCUUGUCAUGCCUCCCUGUCAUAUUCUCUGACAGUUUCCAGCCUUAUGCCCCAUGGGUGUCUCUCUCUCUCUCUGUCUCUCUCUGCUUUCUUUAAUUCCUCUUUGGCUGCCAAGAGUUCAUUUUCUCAGCCUGUGACAGCACCCCAUGUUCC